GGAGAGAUGUCCGAGUGGUUUAAGGAAGCAGUCUUGAAAACUGUCGUGCGGCAACGCACCGUGGGUUCGAAUCCCACUCUCUCCGCCA
rnacentral:tRNA from 1 species